rnacentral:rRNA from 1 species
AUUGACCGCUGGCUGCAGGCCUAACACAUGCAAGUCGAGCGGCCGGCGUACGGGUGAGUAAUGUAUGGGUCCUGCCCGAUAGAGUGGGAUAACUACUUGAAACGGUCGCUAAUUCCGCAUACUAUAUGAUAACCCAUAUGGGAUGAGCUAGUAGGUUAGGUCAUGGCUCAACUAGGCGACGAUCCCUAGCUGGUCUGAGAGGAGGAUCAGCCACACUGGGACUGAGAAACGGCCCAGACGCCUACGGAGCCAGCAGUGGGGAAUAUUGCACCAUGGGCGCAAGACGGAUGCAGCCAUGCGUCGUGGAGGAGGAAGGCCCUAGGGUUGGAAAGUACUUGCAGGCGGGAGGCGUUACCGACAGAAGAAGCACCGGCGAACUCCGUGCCAGCAGCCGCGGUAAUUC